AUCUAAACCCCUGCUAAAGUGCUCCAUGCAUACUUUACAGUGCUGUAAUUUAAACCACUUUUUAUAGCGCUAUAAAGUUACAGCGCUUUUAAACAUGACAAACUUGCAGUGUU